GAUAUGGUGAGAAACUAACUUCUGGGUACAAAUGCAAUUUGUCAAGGAACUAGGAUGUUCAUAAAUCAUCUAACUCACUUCAGUGGUUGUAGUCUACAAGUAUCUGAUAAGGAAGAAGUUUUCGGCCAAGGGGGGAUUCAAGGUCACCAUCUGCAAGUUGAUCCCAUCCUGGAAGAAGUCCAAACUAGUGGACCAACUUGUACUCCAUUCUCCACCUUCUCCAAUUAUAUCUGUACAUCGAUCGCUAUCAUAAUAGAAAAUUGAGGAUGAGUACCACUGGCAGAGACCAUCCAAUUCGGCACAAACAUAAGCAGAUUCAUCUCAUCUCUUUCCCCAAAACUGAUCGAGCUUCCACUGUAAACUUCUCACCAUAAGCAAUAGAGGGGGCACAUAUUUCAGAGGCGCCAAGGAACACGAAAGCACAGAGUGAGAUUCCAGCUUGUUGGUUCAUCAGUGUGAAAAAUGGAGAAAGCAACAGAAAUGAUAGACUCAAAGGAGAAUAGCUGGAGAGAUCCUGCACCAAUAUAUUUCGGUGCAGAAAUGUUUUUGGUACUUCUGUGCCUUGUAGCAUCACUAGUAUUUCUUCCACUAGUUCUGCCUCCAAUGCCUCCACCUCCAAUUUUGCUGUUGCUGCUUCCUGUUGGCGUACUACUAGUUCUGCUGAUUUUAGCCUUGUUGCCCUCUGACGCGAAGAGCAUCACCUUCUCUUACAUGUAGAUAACACGGUUAUGUGUAAUCCUGCUUUUAAACAUUAUUAGAUAUUAAUGAUGAUUCUGUCAUAAAGUUAGAGAGAUAGCGCGCUGGGUUGGUGGUUGCAAGGUUGAAUGAAGAUUUUAGAUAGGAGAAGGAGUUGCAAACAGGAAUGAAAAUUCUUUCUGCACACACUCGAGAGAGUAGACAAAUAUCAAUGUCAAAAAUUAGGGAAGCGGUCCCUGGCGAAGACCCUCAGACACUCAAGUUAAUGUGAUGCCUGAUCAGAAAAAUUAAACAGUAGCCAUGUAGCAGAGCGUGCCAAGGCAUAUUCAAGGAUAAAGCAUCCCAAAAACAUACUUUGCCAUCGGAGAGGACUCCCCUUUAUAUACCACAUCUCAUAACCUCUGCAAUCAUGAGUUGACAGAGAAUGUCAGGUGUUAGAAGUUGUCAAGUAAGAGAAUAUGUAUUUGGGUAGACGUAUAGUUACCCUCCGAGGAAUCUUCUGUUACCCGUGUGCACCCUUUUUGUAACUGAGGUCAUUAAUAAGACGAUUGAAGGAAUAUGCUGUAAGUGUCAGCCAAUGGAAAAUGUAAAGUCACCUUCGAGGAAAGUUCUAUUAAAUGCUUGUGUAAUAACAAAA